UGGGGAAGUUUUACCGCAAUGGGCGAAAGGCCUGACGGAGCAAUGCCGCGUGGAGGUGGAAGGCCUACGGGUCGUCAACUUCUUUUCUCGGAGAAGAAACAAUGACGGUAUCUGAGGAAUAAGCAUCGGCUAACUCUGUGGCAG
rnacentral:rRNA from 1 species